UGUGGAACUCGAUGCCAGAACCCUGAGAUCAUGACCUGUGCUGAAGGCAGAGGCUUAACCCAGGUGAGGAAACAGAAGAUCCACAACUUCUUGUAACGUGACUCUGAUUCCAUAGACAGCAAGAGGCAGAGCUAGAAACUGAUCCCAGGUUUGUGUGGCUGCAAAAUCCAAGGUAUUUCUGCACAUCCCUUUGUCUUCCCCAAUGUCAUUCAUAUCCAACUUUGGAAA
rnacentral:lncRNA from 1 species